rnacentral:rRNA from 1 species
AUUGAACGCUGGCGGCAGGCUUAACACAUGCAAGUCGAGCGGUAACAGAGAGAAGCUUGCUUCUCUGCUGACGAGCGGCGGACGGGUGAGUAAUGCCUAGGAAUCUGCCUAGUAGUGGGGGAUAACUUGCCGAAAGGUAAGCUAAUACCGCAUACGUCCUACGGGAGAAAGGAGGGGACCUUCGGGCCUCGCGCAUUUAGAUGAGCCUGGGUCGGAUUAGUUAGUUGGUGAGGUAAUGGCUCACCAAGACCGCGAUCCGUAACUGGUCUGAGAGGAUGAUCAGUCACACUGGAACUGAGACACGGUCCAGACUCCUACGGGAGGCAGCAGUGGGGAAUAUUGGACAAUGGGGGGAACCCUGAUCCAGCCAUGCCGCGUGUGUGAAGAAGGUCUUAGGAUUGUAAAGCACUUUAAGUUGGGAGGAAGAGCAGUUAACUAAUAUUUGACUGUUUUGACGUUACCGACAGAAUAAGCACCGGCUAACUUCGUGCCAGCAGCCGCCGUAA